GACGAACGCUGGCGGCGUGCCUAAUACAUGCAAGUAGAACGCACAGUUUAUACCGUAGCUUGCUACACCAUGGACUGUGAGUUGCGAACGGGUGAGUAACGCGUAGGUAACCUGCCUGGUAGCGGGGGAUAACUAUUGGAAACGAUAGCUAAUACCGCAUAAUAUUAAUUAUUGCAUGAUAAUUAAUUGAAAGGUGCAAUUGCACCACUACCAGAUGGACCUGCGUUGUAUUAGCUAGUAGGUGAGGUAACGGCUCACCUAGGCGACGAUACAUAGCCGACCUGAGAGGGUGAUCGGCCACACUGGGACGGAGACACGGCCCAGACUCCUGCGGGAGGCAGCAGUAGGGAAUCUUCGGCAAUGGACGAAAGUCUGACCGAGCAACGCCGCGUGAGUGAAGAAGGUUUUCGGAUCGUAAAGCUCUGUUGUAAGAGAAGAACGGGUGUGAGAGUGGAAAGUUCACACUGUGACGGUAUCUUACCAGAAAGGGACGGCUAACUACGUG
rnacentral:rRNA from 1 species